AUUUAAAUAAUUUAAUUAAAAAUAUUGAUUUGUGGGGUCAAAUAUAUGAAUAUAAUUUCAUUUUAAGUU
rnacentral:tRNA from 1 species